rnacentral:rRNA from 1 species
GAUGAACGCUGGCGGCGUGCCUAAUACAUGCAAGUCGAGCGAACAGACGAGGAGCUUGCUCCUCUGACGUUAGCGGCGGACGGGUGAGUAACACGUGGAUAACCUACCUAUAAGACUGGGAUAACUUCGGGAAACCGGAGCUACUACCGGAUAAUAUAUUGAACCGCAUGGUUCAAUAGUGAAAGACGGUUUUGCUGUCACUUAUAGAUGGAUACGCGCCGCAUUAGCUAGUUGGUAAGGUAACGGCUUACCAAGGCAACGAUGCGUAGCCGACCUGAGAGGGUGAACGGCCACACUGGAAGUGAGACACGGUCGAGACUCCGACGGGAGGCAGCAGUAGGGAAUCUUCCGCAAUGGGCGAAAGCCUGACGGAGCAACGCCGCGUGAGUGAUGAAGGUCUUCGGAUCGUAAAACUCUGUUAGUAGGGAAGAACAAAUGUGUAAGUAACUAUGCACGUAUUGACGGUACCUAAUCAGAAAGCCACGGCUAACUCCGUG